rnacentral:rRNA from 1 species
UUAAGUUAUUAAGGGCGCACGGUGGAUGCCUUGGCACUAGAAGCCGAUGAAGGACGUUACUAACGACGAUAUGCUUUGGGGAGCUGUAAGUAAGCUUUGAUCCAGAGAUUUCCGAAUGGGGAAACCCAGCAUGAGUUAUGUCAUGUUAUCGAUAUGUGAAUACAUAGCAUAUCAGAAGGCACACCCGGAGAACUGAAACAUCUUAGUACCCGGAGGAAGAGAAAGAAAAUUCGAUUCCCUUAGUAGCGGCGAGCGAAACGGGAAGAGCCCAAACCAACAAGCUUGCUUGUUGGGGUUGUAGGACACUCUAUACGGAGUUACAAAGGACGACAUUAGACGAAUCAUCUGGAAAGAUGAAUCAAAGAAGGUAAUAAUCCUGUAGUCGAAAAUGUUGUCUCUCUUGAGUGGAUCCUGAGUACGACGGAGCACGUGAAAUUCCGUUGGAAUCUGGGAGGACCAUCUCCUAAGGCUAAAUACUCUCUAGUGACCGAUAGUGAACCAGUACCGUGAGGGAAAGGUGAAAAGCACCCCGGAAGGGGAGUGAAAUAGAACCUGAAACCGUGUGCUUACAAGUAGUCAGAGCCCGUUAAUGGGUGAUGGCGUGCCUUUUGUAGAAUGAACCGGCGAGUUACGAUUUGAUGCAAGGUUAAGCAGUAAAUGUGGAGCCGUAGCGAAAGCGAGUCUGAAUAGGGCGUUUAGUAUUUGGUCGUAGACCCGAAACCAGGUGAUCUACCCUUGGUCAGGUUGAAGUUCAGGUAACACUGAAUGGAGGACCGAACCGACUUACGUUGAAAAGUGAGCGGAUGAACUGAGGGUAGCGGAGAAAUUCCAAUCGAACCUGGAGAUAGCUGGUUCUCUCCGAAAUAGCUUUAGGGCUAGCCUCAAGUGAUGAUUAUUGGAGGUAGAGCACUGUUUGGACGAGGGGCCCCUCUCGGGUUACCGAAUUCAGACAAACUCCGAAUGCCAAUUAAUUUAACUUGGGAGUCAGAACAUGGGUGAUAAGGUCCGUGUUCGAAAGGGAAACAGCCCAGACCACCAGCUAAGGUCCCAAAAUAUAUGUUAAGUGGAAAAGGAUGUGGCGUUGCCCAGACAACUAGGAUGUUGGCUUAGAAGCAGCCAUCAUUUAAAGAGUGCGUAAUAGCUCACUAGUCGAGUGACACUGCGCCGAAAAUGUACCGGGGCUAAACAUAUUACCGAAGCUGUGGAUUGUCCUUUGGACAAUGGUAGGAGAGCGUUCUAAGGGCGUUGAAGCAUGAUCGUAAGGACAUGUGGAGCGCUUAGAAGUGAGAAUGCCGGUGUGAGUAGCGAAAGACGGGUGAGAAUCCCGUCCACCGAUUGACUAAGGUUUCCAGAGGAAGGCUCGUCCGCUCUGGGUUAGUCGGGUCCUAAGCUGAGGCCGACAGGCGUAGGCGAUGGAUAACAGGUUGAUAUUCCUGUACCACCUAUAAUCGUUUUAAUCGAUGGGGGGACGCAGUAGGAUAGGCGAAGCGUGCGAUUGGAUUGCACGUCUAAGCAGUAAGGCUGAGUAUUAGGCAAAUCCGGUACUCGUUAAGGCUGAGCUGUGAUGGGGAGAAGACAUUGUGUCUUCGAGUCGUUGAUUUCACACUGCCGAGAAAAGCCUCUAGAUAGAAAAUAGGUGCCCGUACCGCAAACCGACACAGGUAGUCAAGAUGAGAAUUCUAAGGUGAGCGAGCGAACUCUCGUUAAGGAACUCGGCAAAAUGACCCCGUAACUUCGGGAGAAGGGGUGCUCUUUAGGGUUAACGCCCAGAAGAGCCGCAGUGAAUAGGCCCAAGCGACUGUUUAUCAAAAACACAGGUCUCUGCUAAACCGUAAGGUGAUGUAUAGGGGCUGACGCCUGCCCGGUGCUGGAAGGUUAAGAGGAGUGGUUAGCUUCUGCGAAGCUACGAAUCGAAGCCCCAGUAAACGGCGGCCGUAACUAUAACGGUCCUAAGGUAGCGAAAUUCCUUGUCGGGUAAGUUCCGACCCGCACGAAAGGCGUAACGAUUUGGGCACUGUCUCAACGAGAGACUCGGUGAAAUCAUAGUACCUGUGAAGAUGCAGGUUACCCGCGACAGGACGGAAAGACCCCGUGGAGCUUUACUGUAGCCUGAUAUUGAAAUUCGGCACAGCUUGUACAGGAUAGGUAGGAGCCUUUGAAACGUGAGCGCUAGCUUACGUGGAGGCGCUGGUGGGAUACUACCCUAGCUGUGUUGGCUUUCUAACCCGCACCACUUAUCGUGGUGGGAGACAGUGUCAGGCGGGCAGUUUGACUGGGGCGGUCGCCUCCUAAAAGGUAACGGAGGCGCUCAAAGGUUCCCUCAGAAUGGUUGGAAAUCAUUCA